AUGGCAGACAAGACAUCAACUAGUUUAUUGAGAGGAGGACAGGGCCAGCUACAGAUGGACCAACGGCUCUUGGAAGCAUCCACAUCCGGCAAUUCCACAUCAAUGAAGGAGAUGGCCUCGCGAAAUCCAUGCAUUCUUCUUGGAACAACUCUAGCUAGGAACACCUGUCUUCACAUAUCCUCGACCCACGGGCACCAGGCAUUUUGCACGGAUGUGGUGGCGCUGGAGGAGUCUCUCCUCACUGCAGUAAACUUGGAUUGGGAGACGCCACUUCUUGCCGCGGUGAAAAGUGGUUUUGUCAUCUUGGCUUCCGUUCUAAUCCAAUGCUACCGUGCACGGGGACUCAUAGAGGCAAUCUUGUGGCAAGACAUUGAUGGCUGCAAUGUACUGCACCACGCAAUACGCAGUGGCCACAGGGAGCUUGCGCUGAAGCUGAUAGAGGCAGCACCCGCUCUGUCGACACAUGUGAACAUAUUUAACGAGUCACCCAUGUACAUCGCAGCGAUGAGAGACUUCACUGAUAUUUCAGAGAAAUUACUGGAAAUUCCUGACUCUGCUCAUAUGGGACCAUUCGGCAAUAACACUCUGCUGGCUGCUGUGAGAAAUGCAAACUCAGGUUUGGCAAAAAGAAUUAUGGAAACACGUCCUUGGCUGGCCAGAGAAACUAACAAAACGGGAGCUACUCCACUAAGUGUAGCUUUAUAUCUUCACCAGAUUGGCGUGGUACGCGUAUUGCUGGAACAUGAUUGCUCUUUAGGGUAUAAGGUGCCAAGUAACGGCGCACCUUUCCUUAGUCAAGCUGCAGCUGGAGGACAUAUCGAUGUUGCUCAAGUGCUUCUUCACCACUGUCCUGAUACUCCUUACCGUGCAACAAAUGAUCCGUAUUGGACGUGCCUUCAUACAGCUAUAGACCAAGAUCACGUGGAGUUUGUGGAAUUCAUUUUGAGAACUCCACAACUUCGUAAACUCAUUAAUAUGCGAGACGUGUAUGGGAAAACUGCUCUACAUUAUGCAGUACAGAGCUGCAAUCCAAAAAUGGUUGCUGCUUUGCUGUCUCACGAAGAUAUAGACAUAUCGGUGCUUGAUAAUCAUGGUAAUGUACCAGCUUGGGAAUUGAUGGACUUCGCGGAUCAUGCCAAGACUUUAAAUUGGAAUGAAGUGAACAUGCUUAUGCUGAGAGCUGAUCCCAGAUGUGCCACCAUAUCUUAUAAUCUUCACAGACGUACAAAACAGCAGGCGACUAUGAAAUCAAGGAUGGAAGCGAAGUCACUAACUAAAACAUACACAAGUAACACUUCGUUAGUGGCGAUACUCAUGGCAACAAUAACCUUUGCAGCCGCCUUCACCCUUCCUGGAGGUUAUGACAAUGAUGCUGGAAGUGAGGGACUUCCCAUCAUGUCUAGGAAGUUUGCAUUCCAGGCAUUCUUGAUUUCUGACGUCUUGGCAUUGUGCUCCUCGUUUGCCGUGGCCUUCAUAUGCAUCAUAGCAAGGUGGGAGGAUUACGAGUUCUUGAUUUAUUACAGAUCCUUCACUAAGAAGCUCAUGUGGUUUGCAUACGUGGCAACUACUACUGCCUUUUCAACUGGUUUAUACACUGUGCUGGCUUCACGCCUCCACUGGUUAGCCAUUGCAAUUUGUCUUAUGGUAGCUUUGUUGCCCAUUCUCACAAAGCUGCUUGGUGAAUGGCCUAUCUUGAAGCUCAGAUUGAAGUUGGGUAAAGAUUUCAAGUCUGAUUUCCUUGAUAUGGUCUGA
rnacentral:rRNA from 1 species